AGCUUGCUUCUAUCGAGCUGUUUUAGAAACAUCAGGGGCCAACAGAUCGCCAGAUCGUUGAGCUCCAUUGGCGGGAUUUCGCCGUCUACGUUUCUCUUUCUUCGCGGACGAACACGCGCUGGGCUGCAUCGAGCAGGGUCCCUGGUCCUUGACGGGAUAUGCGUUAGGGGCUUGUAGCUCAGUUGGUUAGAGCGCGCGCUUGAUAAGCGUGAGGUCGGAAGUUCAAGUCUUCCCAGGCCCACCACACUCAUCGAGUGAGCAUUCGUCUUCUGGUUACGGGGCCAUAGCUCAGCUGGGAGAGCGCGUGCUUUGCAAGCAUGAGGUCGUCGGUUCGAUCCCGUCUGGCUCCACCAGAUGGUUUGAUCAUCGACGCAGUGUUUGCAGGUUUUGAACCGUCGUCCGCGAAACAUCACUUCGCAUCUUGCUAGUCUGGAUAGACAGCAAGUUGCGUGUUUUCUGACAUCGUAAAGAGGAGAUCGAUCCGAGUUGGGUCGUGCAGCAGAUUGUUGCGCGAAUCCUUCAUUAUCUCCGGAUCAUUUUCGGCGCUCGACGCUGACCGCAAGGUUGGCUGCGAGUUGUAAAAUGAUCCUUUUAGCGAAGCUUGACCGCCUCGCUAUCGGAACGAUCUUACGAAGCAAGCUGGUCUUUCUAGUCAAUGUCCGGCUGCAGAUAGCGUUCAUCGAGGGCGCGUGCCUUAGAGAUUUCGAUCUCUUGGCAAUUCUGCAGACAACAUUCUGCCGAGUGUGUGGACAUUGAUAAUGAGAGCAAUCAAGUGCCUUAAGGGUGUUCGGUGGAUGCCUUGGCGCUGAGAGGCGAUGAAGGACGUGCUACGCUGCGAUAAGCCGUGGGGAGCUGCGAAGA
rnacentral:misc_RNA from 1 species